AUUCACCUGAGUUGAGUAUGACU
rnacentral:rRNA from 1 species